AGUCGAACGAGCGAGAGAGAGCUUGCUUUCUCAAUCGAGUGGCGAACGGGUGAGUAACGCGUGAGGAACCUGCCUCAAAGAGGGGGACAACAGUUGGAAACGACUGCUAAUACCGCAUAAGCCCACAGCUCGGCAUCGAGCAGAGGGAAAAGGAGUGAUCCGCUUUGAGAUGGCCUCGCGUCCGAUUAGCUGGUUGGUGAGGUAACGGCCCACCAAGGCGACGAUCGGUAGCCGGACUGAGAGGUUGAACGGCCACAUUGGGACUGAGACACGGCCCAGACUCCUACGGGAGGCAGCAGUGGGGAAUAUUGCACAAUGGGGGAAACCCUGAUGCAGCGACGCCGCGUGGAGGAAGAAGGUCUUCGGAUUGUAAACUCCUGUUGUUGAGGAAGAUAAUGACGGUACUCAACAAGGAAGUGACGGCUAACUACGUGCCAGCAGCCGCGGUAAAACGUAGGUCACAAGCGUUGUCCGGAAUUACUGGGUGUAAAGGGAGCGCAGGCGGGAAAGCAAGUUGGAAGUGAAAUCCAUGGGCUCAACCCAUGAACUGCUUUCAAAACUGUUUUUCUUGAGUAGUGCAGAGGUAGGCGGAAUUCCCGGUGUAGCGGUGGAAUGCGUAGAUAUCGGGAGGAACACCAGUGGCGAAGGCGGCCUACUGGGCACCAACUGACGCUGAGGCUCGAAAGUGUGGGUAGCAAACAGGAUUAGAUACCCUGGUAGUCCACACUGUAAACGAUGAUUACUAGGUGUUGGAGGAUUGACCCCUUCAGUGCCGCAGUUAACACAAUAAGUAAUCCACCUGGGGAGUACGACCGCAAGGUUGAAACUCAAAGGAAUUGACGGGGGCCCGCACAAGCAGUGGAGUAUGUGGUUUAAUUCGACGCACCGCGAAGAACCUUACCAAGUCUUGACAUCCUGCGACGGUGCUG
rnacentral:rRNA from 1 species